GACGAACGCUGGCGGCGUGCUUAACACAUGCAAGUCGAACGGAAAGGCCCUUCGGGGUCCUCGAGUGGCGAACGGGUGCGUAACACGUGGGUGAUCUGCCCUGCACUUUGGGAUAAGCCUGGGAAACUGGGUCUAAUACCGAAUAGGACCACGCGCUUCAUGGUGUGUGGUGGAAAGCUUUUGCGGUGUGGGAUGGGCCCGCGGCCUAUCAGCUUGUUGGUGGGGUAAUGGCCUACCAAGGCGACGACGGGUAGCCGGCCUGAGAGGGUGACCGGCCACACUGGGACUGAGAUACGGCCCAGACUCCUACGGGAGGCAGCAGGGGGGAAUAUUGCACAAUGGGCGCAAGCCUGAUGCAGCGACGCCGCGUGAGGGAUGACGGCCUUCGGGUUGUAAACCGCUUUCACCAGGGACGAAGCGUAAGUGACGGUACCUGGAGAAGAAGCACCGGCGAACUACGUG
rnacentral:rRNA from 1 species